UAAAAUCCAGAAAUGGAUCUUUUAAUAUCUGCCUUUUCACCGUGGAUGUGUGAGUAAAAAGUCUUUUUGGCGGUCAGUUCUUAAUAUAAACAUUAACCUGGUGCAAGAUCUAAUAAUGUCUCUGAUUUUAAGGGUUUCCAU